rnacentral:lncRNA from 1 species
UCUUUUUGUAUCAACGACAGUAACAACGCAAAGUAAAACAAAACAAACAAGUGGCCCGGCAGUACUUCAGAAUCCUCUGCGGCGUCCUGUCCCCCACCCUGCCCCUCCGAGGAGAGGCAGCCCCGUGCGCAGUGUGUGUACAGUUCGCAUUGCCAACAACACCCGCGCGCGGCCGGGUGCGCGCGCCUGCCAGCGCACACUCACACACAUAGACACACAGACACACACACAGACACACACACACACACACACACACAGACAGAUCCGGGUGGGGGGAGCGGCUGCGCGAGACAGCGCGAGCCUCCGAGAAAGCGCGAGACACACCGGCGCGUGCAGCUCCGCGGCCGCCGCUUCGCCCCAGCUCUAGCCCCGCGCGACCCGUAGCCCGCCCCGGUUAUUUAUGCGGCGGCCGCGUCCGCCGGCUGCGGCUUCCUCGCCCCCCCUCCCCGGGCGCGCCCCCCACUCGCGGCAGCAGCUGCCCGGACUCGCGCGUGGGUGUGUUGUUUGGGGGCUUCUGCCUUGCCGCCGCGGGUGCCACCUCCUGGGACGCUGCCCACGGCGUCCCCGGUCGCGAUCAAACAAAUGAUAGAAGUCUGUUGAAGCUUUGUCCUGACCUAUCCUGGAAUUAG